rnacentral:rRNA from 1 species
CGUGGACAAUCUACCGAGAAGUGGGGGAUAGCUCGCCGAAAGGCGAAUUAAUACCGCAUGUGAUUACUGAAGACAUCUUCGGGACAUCAAAGCCGGGGCAACCUGGCGCUUUUUGAGGAGUCCGCGGCCUAUCAGCUUGUUGGUAAGGUAACGGCUCACCAAGGCAUUGACGGGUAGCUGGUCUGAGAGGACGACCAGUCACACUGGAACUGAGACACGGUCCAG